CCUACGGGAGGCAGCAGUGAGGAAUAUUGGUCAAUGGACGCAAGUCUGAACCAGCCAUGCCGCGUGCAGGAAGACGGCUCUAUGAGUUGUAAACUGCUUUUGUACGAGGGUAAACGCAGAUACGCGUAUCUGUCUGAAAGUAUCGUACGAAUAAGGAUCGGCUAACUCGGUGCCAGCAGCCGCGGUAAUACGGAGGAUUCAAGCGUUAUCCGGAUUUAUUGGGUUUAAAGGGUGCGUAGGCGGGCGGAUAAGUUAGAGGUGAAAUCCCGAGGCUCAACUUCGGAAUUGCCUCGGAUACUGUUCGUCUAGAGAGUAGAUGCGGUAGGCGGAAUGUAUGGUGUAGCGGUGAAAUGCUUAGAGAUCAUACAGAACACCGAUUGCGAAGGCAGCUUACCAGGCUACAUCUGACGUUGAGGCACGAAAGCGUGGGGAGCAAACAGGAUUAGAUACCCCAGUAGUC
rnacentral:rRNA from 1 species